rnacentral:ncRNA from 1 species
CUGACGGAGCAAUGCCGCGUGGAGGUGGAAGGCCUACGGGUCGUCAACUUCUUUUCUCGGAGAAGAAACAAUGACGGUAUCUGAGGAAUAAGCAUCGGCUAACUCUGUGCCAGCAGCCGCGGUAAGACAGAGGAUGCAAGCAUUAUCCGGAAUGAUUGGGCGUAAAGCGUCUGUAGGUGGCUUUUCAAGUCCGCCGUCAAAUCCCAGGGCUCAACCCUGGACAGGCGG